rnacentral:rRNA from 1 species
CGGACGGGUGAGUAACGCGUAGGAACCUGACACCGAGUGGGGGAGUAACGCUGGGAAACCGGCGCUAAUACCGCAUAAGAUCUGGCAACAGAGGAAAGCAGCAAUGCGCUGGGUGAGGGGCCUGCGUCCGAUUAGCUAGUUGGUGGGGUAAAGGCCUACUAAGGCACCGAUCGGUAGCUGGUCUGAGAGGAUGAUCAGCCACACUGGGACUGAGAUACGGCCCAG